UAGGGAAUAUUGCGCAAUGGGGGAAACCCUGACGCAGCAACGCCACGUGAGUGAGGAAGGUCUUCGGAUUGUAAAACUCUGUUCUUAGGGAAAAAUGAUUUGGGAGCGAAUAGGUCUCAGAAGUGAUGGUACCUAAGGAGAAAGCACCGGCUAACUUCGUGCCAGCAGCCGCGGUAAUACGAAGGGUGCAAGCGUUGUUCGGAUUUAUUGGGCGUAAAGCGCGCGCAGGCGGGGCGGCAAGUCAGAUGUGAAAACUCGGAGCUUAACUUCGAACGUGCGUCUGAAACUACCAUCCUAGAGUAGCGAAAGGGGAAGGGGAAUUUCACGUGUAGGGGUAAAAUCCGUAGAGAUGUGAAGGAACACCUGGGGCGAAAGCGCCUUCCUUGUCGCUCACUGACGC
rnacentral:rRNA from 1 species